ACGAGGAAUGCUGCAAUGGAGCAAAACCUUGAGCCUUGAGGCCCCCAAUGCAUAACUACGGGGAAGAUGUUAACCCGUAAGUCAGAGCAGGCUGCUUUUGAUGAAGACUCCUCUGAUUGUAUAGGCUGUUGUCACGUCUUCAAAAACAAUGAAGCCAGAGAGGCGCCGUGUACCCUUCCUGUUGCAUGUACUCUUCCUGUUGUCCCUUCAUCCAUGGGAGGAAGUUGACUGACUUUCAGAAAGUACGGCCUGGUUAACACUGAUGUUGGAAGUGAACAUACUGAACUCGUCAUUUAGAAGAGAGAGAUGGAAGUUUGUGGACUGAAUUUACAUGAAAAGGAGUGCUUCUCUGGGCCUUCUGGUACCUGGUAUAGCCGAGAAGUUCCGUGGGCAAAAGACGUGAUGCAGUUCGUUGAAUCCAGCACUCAACCCCAGCACUAUGGAUACAUUUAUGAGAACUCUACCACUGCAGGUGAACUGAAGGACAGGAACAGGCCAUGACUAGGCAGUUGUGACUCAAGCUUAUGCGUCUAAAAUCUAAACUACCAGAGAGGAGUAGGAAGACAAGAACUGAGCAAAGCAGAGACAAAACAAGGGAACAAAGUGGUGAAGGACUGUGGAGUCUGUAGCGAGGCAUGCUGGGAGAUCACUAAGGUCAAGAUAAAAUGGAGCUCUUGGAAACCAGCUGUGGCCCCCCUCCUCCAUCUGUUGGGCUAUGAUUUGGUGGCCAGCCAGUCUUCUUGGGGUCACACUGUCCUUUAAACUUGGGUUUCCAUUUCUCUCACAAACAAUCUUUAACCAAACCACCCUAUACUCUCCCUCUGUGCUGAUGCCUCAUUUCUCCAUAUGGCCCCUUGGCUCUAUGUAAUAUUAAAAUCUCAUAGGAA